rnacentral:rRNA from 1 species
UGCGUAGGCGGCGCUAUAAGUCAGAGGUGAAAGGCCACAGCUUAACUGUGGGACUGCCUUUGAUACUGUAGUGCUUGAAUUAGGUUGAGGUCGGCGGAAUGUGACAUGUAGCGGUGAAAUGAUUAGAUAUGUCAUAGAACACCAAUUGCGAAGGCAGCUGACUAGACCUUAAUUGACGCUGAGGCACGAAAGCGUGGGGAGCGAACAGGAUUAGAUACCCUGGUAGUCC